rnacentral:lncRNA from 1 species
CACCUGCCAAACUCACACAGCGUCCCUUCUCCACCUCCCUAUGGCAUGAACGCCUUGCUCCUGUUCCCUGACAGGACCCCACGUCGCACCUGCACCACAGACACACACGGCUCCCUCGCCAACCCGUGCUGAGGACAGAGGACGCGGGGAGGCGGCUCACAGCAGCCAGGGAGGUACAGACACAAACCACUCUCCAGCACCAGCACGUCCCUGAGCUGCCCCUGGCGAGAAGACAGUCCAGGCACCGAGGGUUCUCAUCAACCUCGUGUGGACACGCAGAACCACACCACAAGCACUCUCUGCUCCUUGCCGCUGGAGAGGAGCCAGGUUAGGAGGAAAAGGGAACUUUGCAUGGUUCUCUGAACAGCUAUGUCACCCUGAAAGUUUUUUUAAGAAAAUGAAAAACAGCCGGGCGAGGUAGCUCACGCCUGUAAUCCCAGCACUUUGGGAGGCCGAGAUGGGCAGAUCACAAGGUCAGGAGUUCAAGACCAGUGUGACCAACAUAGUGAAACCCUGUCUCUACUAAAAAUACAAAAAGUAGCCAGGCAUGGUGGCGGGCGCCUGUAAUCCCAGCUACUCAGGAGGCUGAGGCAGGAGAAUUGCUUGAAUCUGUAUAGCAGAGGUUGCACUGAGCUGAGAUCGUGCCAUUGCACUCCAGCCUGGGCGACAGAGCAAGACUCUAUAUCUCCAAAAAAAAAAGAAAAUGAAAAACAAUGAUAUAACAUGACAGUGCUUUGAAUUUAAUUCUCAAAAGAGUUCCGUGUCUAGAAAGACAGUAAGAAUCCCUGCCAGGAACUGACCCCAGGCAAUAAAGUCGCUUCCCCCAUGGCCCAGCCCCUACCGUGGCCACGAAGCUCUCAGAGGGCCAUGGGUUCCUGCCCACGCCUGUGACAUCGAGCCCCCCCACCCGGUCCUUGCCUCCUAGCCCCACUCAGGGUCCUGCCUGCAUUAGAGCAGCCGGGCCCCCAACCCCCAGCCAGAGCCAGCUGACCCCAUCUCCAUGGACCAUGGUGCUGUGGGGGCCACGCACACAGCAUGGAGCUCACACGGACAGGGCUGAGACCAGACAGGCCUCGCUGCUGGGCUGACAUUUCUCAGUAGGUGGGAUUACAGGCGAGCGCCAGCUCUCAUUUCUUAAAUUAAGUGUUUAUACAAAUAUUUGAGUUUGUACAAAGACCUGAGGUACAUUCACUAAGGUGGGACCCAGAGAAGAGUCACUACCAGCCUCAGAGUGCAGCCCAGUGACAUCCCCCUUCAACACAGGCCCCGCAGGCCUGCAGCCCUCCAGGAGGCCCAGGCAGGUUACACCAGGGAGCUGGGGGGCGCUUCAGCAGCCUGGCCGCCAGUGCCGCCCCUGGGACUGCCCCACAGACCCCCCGACUCCACGUUUCCUCUCCAGGCACCUCCAGCCCAACCCUGCCUUGAACUCCCAUCCAGACGUCUGACGGCUGCACAUCAGUGGGCGGCCGGCACAUCCCUUGGGACCUUUCUGCCCUGACCUCCUCUGACAGCCUUGUACCCCGGGGAGUCCCAGCACCUCUGAGCCACCUGCGCCUCCCUCACACUGGGCCCCACUAGAAACCAAUCUGCUGUGCCUUGAAGGACACCCAGCACCCACACAGCACCCUCACCUCUGCCAUACCAGGCCUCACUGACCUCAACGCAGUACCCACAGGGUCCCCGAACACACAAGCCCGAGUGGAUGCAGAGGCUCCUCAGGGCCAUCGAGGUCAGGCCCUGGCCCUGCCAUCAGCCCACACCUGCCUCUGCCCCCGCCGCGUGGACUCCUCACUUACCGCAGGACAUUCUCGGCCCUCCUGCUCAUGGUGCCCUGUGCCCAGAACACGCCCUCCUGCACCUUAUCAAGCCUCUUCUCAAUGUCAUCUCAGUGACGCUGCAGAAACCACCUUGUAAGCGCACACGGCCAGACACAGUGGCUCACACCUGUAAUCCCAGCACUUUGGGAGGCCAAGGCAGGCAGAUCACGAGGUCAGGAGUUAGAGAGCCACUUGGCCAAUAUGGUGAAACCCCAUCUCUACUAAAAAUACAAAAAUUAGCUGGGCAUGGUGGCAGGCGCCUGUAGUCCCAGCUACUCAAGAGGCUGAGGCAGGAGAAUCACUUGAACCCGGGAGGUGGAGGUUGCAGUGAGCCGAGACUGCAUCACUGCACUCCAGCCUGAGUGACAAAGCAAGACUCUGUCUCAAAAAAAAAAAAA